rnacentral:rRNA from 1 species
GAUGAACGCUAGCUACAGGCUUAACACAUGCAAGUCGAGGGACCGGCGCACGGGUGAGUAACACGUAUCCAACCUGCCCUUUACUCGGGGAUAGCCUUUCGAAAGAAAGAUUAAUACCCGAUGUAAAGGUUGGGGAUGCGUUCCAUUAGGUUGUUGGUGAGGUAAUGGCUCACCAAGCCUUCGAUGGAUAGGGGUUCUGAGAGGAAGGUACCCCACAUUGGAGCUAGGGCACAGACCAAACUCCUACGGAGGGCAGCAGUGAGGAAUAUUGGUCAAUGAGCGUUGGCGUGAACCAGCCGAGUAGCGUGAAGAAUGAAGGCUUAUGGAUCGUAAGCUUCUUUUAUAUAAGAAUCUGUAUUAUAUGAAUAAGGAUCGGCUAACUCCGUGCCAGCAGCCGCGGUAAUUC